UACGUAGGGGGCGAGCGUUGUCCGGAGUUACUGGGCGUAAAGCGCACGCAGGCGGUCUGCUAAGUUUGGAGUGACAGUUGGUGGCUUAACUGCCAAAGUGCUUCGAAAACUGACAGACUUGAGGGCUCCAGAGGAACACGGAAUUCCGGGUGGAGUGGUGAAAUGCGUAGAGAUCCGGAGGAACACCAAAGGCGAAGGCAGUGUCCUGGGGAGUACCUGACGCUCAGGUGCGAAAGCCAGGGGAGCGAACGGG
rnacentral:rRNA from 1 species